GUGGCCCGGCCAGGUCGCAAAUGUGAGGACGUGUGUCUGCCCGACCCUGACCUAGGUGCUUCUUGAAACAUGCCGCCGGCGCAGACGGCUACUCCCCAUCCCCAAGGCUGCGCGGAAGGCUGUGGUUGCUCCGGCUGGCUGGUGAUGGAGGACACUAGCUUGAGUUCUUGUUGGACGCCGAUGACGGUAAGUUACAGGUUUUCGCUGGGAGAAGAGUUUGCGGACAGCUAGAAAGAACCAGAUCCGGUCCCUCUGGCGGUGCUCCCGCGGCUGAAUGCUGCCCCUGCUACGCCGGCGGACUCGUAUAUUGGCUCCGGGUGCGGGCAGCAUGUUGGUGGCUCCGGAGGGCAACAAGCGCCGGCGAUGGUAGGCUUCUCCGAUGAGGUAGCAGGCCCUGACAGGGUCAAUCCCGAGGCGCCGGGCUGGACCAAAAGGUGACGGAUGUAUUUUACUUGGACGAUGCGAGCCCAGGAGUGUUCACGCACAUGUUGGCUGAACUGAAGGCCUUGUAGGUGUGUGGUGCACCAUUUGAAGAGAAGAGGGAUGUUGGGCUUUUAGGAUAGCCAGACCACUUUGCCUGGCAGGAGGCUACCUGUCGAUGGAGAAGUUGCAUUUGUGGGAAAUGGCAGUGCAGAGCGUGAAGACAAUGGUCGUUUAUCUAUCAGUGUGAAUGCACUUCAAGGGCCUGCUGCUCCGGAAGAGCAGACAGGUGUCGACAGGCCAACAAAUAGCCGGGAGAAAGCACCGUAUGAUAUUCUGCAGCAUUUGUCAUCACAAAGGCCACAAGAGAACAACCUGCCCUGACAGGGAAUGCAAGGGCACCAUCGGUGGUGCUCAAAAUCAGAUGUGAUAGUCAAUUUUUUAAUUCUGAAACUUGUACUCUGAAGAUUUUCUAGUGUGUUUCAGUGAGCAAUGCUCCCUUGUGUUCCUCCAGUUCAGGACGGCAGACUUACUAUACCAUUCAGUAAACUUUGUUGUCGUUCAUCAGUA